rnacentral:lncRNA from 1 species
GCAGCAGAUGGCAGCAGAUCGCGGCAGCAGAUGGCAGCAGAUCGCGGCAUAGAUCGCGACAGCAGAUCGCCUGUUGGGUGUCGGUUUCGGCAGCAGAUUUUGUUUCGGCAGAGUCAAACUUCAGGCCUUUGGUUUCGGCAGCACUCACAGCAGAUUGGUUCUAUUCUGUUUGUUGUUUGUGUGUUUCACAAUUCACAGUGUGUGACUGUGUGUGAAUUGUUGUGAGCUGUGAGGUUUGCCCUUUGCCAUCUGCGUUUGGUGUGCAGUGUGCGUGUGUUGUAAAGUGUAAAGUGUAUUGGGU